rnacentral:lncRNA from 1 species
UUAGGGGGUCGCGGAGGUUUCCACCAAGAUUUCAAAGGAAGGCCUAGGAGGCCAGGCAAAGUGUAGCAGGGUCAGAGUCCCAGUGGCUGCCCUUGAGAGGUGAUGCAUGAAAAUGUGAGAAGGAAGCCAGAACUUCAGUGGAGAGCCCCGAGCUUAAGAGAUGCCCAGGAAAGCUGCAGGAAUCCAGCAGAAACAAGCCUAGAAAGAGGCUGUGUGAGCUGCAACCAGCAAGGCCACAGGGGAAGAGCUAAGCAAGCCCUUUGGAGAGAACAUCACAGUGCCAUGUGCCCCGGAUGCUAGGCACAGAGCUACAGGACUUGUUCGCCUAACUGGAUAUUGGUCUUGCUCUGGUCCCAUUCUUUCUUUCCAUGCCCCCAUUUCUCCCUUGCAGAAUGGACAUGUUUACUGUGUGCCAUUAUGUAUUGGAUACAUGUAAUUUGUUUUUGAUCUUCACUGGGGGAAAGAGCUAAGAGUUUGCCUUGAGUCUCAGAAGAGAUUUUGGACGUGGUAUUUUUGGUAAUGCUGGAACUGCUAAGACUAUGGGGAAUCAUCAAAAUGGACUAAAUACAUUUUGAAUUAUGAGAUGGGCAUAAACUUUCAGGAGCCAGAGUUGGAAUGUUAUGGUUUGGAUAUGUAUUGUCCUCCCAAAACACAUGUGUGAGACAAUGCACGAAUACUUAGAGGUGAAAUGAUUAGGUUAUGAGAGUUGUAACCUAAUCAGUGGAUUAAUCCACUGAUAUGAAUUAACUGGGACUGUAGGCAGAUAAGUCAUGGCUGGAGGAGGUAGGGCACAGGGGCACACCUUUGGGGUACAUAUAUUGUUCCUGGUGAGUGGAGCCCUCGGUACUUCAUGGGGGCCAUGUCCCGAGCUGCUUUCCUUUUGCCAUGAUGUUCUGCCUUACCUCACUCAGGCUCAGAGCAGGAGAGGCAGUCAUCUGUGAACUGAGACCU